GGCAGUGGGGCCUGAACGGUUAAGGCUCUGGGAUACUGAUCAAAAGGUCGGGGGUUCAAGCCCCAGCGCUGUCA